ensembl:misc_RNA 7SK 7SK RNA
GGGUGUGAGGGUGAACUGGCUGCGAUAUCUGUCACCCCAUUGAUUACCAGGAUUGAUUCAGCUGAUCUGGCUGGCUAAGCGAGUGUGCUCUUCGGAGCUCACUGCUCUUUGUGCUCAGUUGAAAAAGAAAAGGAGGAUCACACAAGCAGCCGCACUUCCCUGCUAGAAUCUCCAAAAUCUCACUGACACUUUUUUUUGUUGAAAUAGAAAAAAAAAAAAUCCUAAAAUUCUUAAGGAAUCUCAAAGGAUUUUGAAUAGCUCAAAAAUCUU